AACGAACGCUGGCGGCAGGCUUAACACAUGCAAGUCGAGCGGGCACCUUCGGGUGUCAGCGGCGGACGGGUUAGUAACGCGUGGGAACGUGCCCUUCACUGCGGAAUAGCUCCGGGAAACUGGUGGUAAUACCGCAUGCGCCCUAAGGGGGAAAGAUUUAUCGGUGAGGGAUCGGCCCGCGUCUGAUUAGGUAGUUGGUGAGGUAACGGCUCACCAAGCCGACGAUCGGUAGCUGGUUUGAGAGGAUGAUCAGCAACACUGGGACUGAGACACGGCCCAGACUCCUACGGGAGGCAGCAGUGGGGAAUCUUAGACAAUGGGCGCAAGCCUGAUCUAGCCAUGCCGCGUGGAUGAUGAAGGCCUUAGGGUCGUAAAGUCCUUUCGCCGGGGAAGAUAAUGACGGUACCCGGUAAAGAAACCCCGGCUAACUCCGUGCCAGCCGCCGCAGUAAGAC
rnacentral:rRNA from 1 species